GAUGAACGCUAGCGGCAGGCCUAAUACAUGCAAGUCGGACGGGAUUCAGGAGCUUGCUUCUGAUGAGAGUGGCGCACGGGUGCGUAACACGUAUGUAACCUACCUUUAUCAGGGGGAUAGCCUCUCGAAAGAGAGAUUAAGCCCGCAUAAAAUCACAGCACAGCAUUGUGUAAUGAUCAAAUAUUUAUAGGAUAAGGAUGGGCAUGCGGAACAUUAGCUAGAUGGCGGGGUAACGGCCCACCAUGGCGACGAUGUUUAGGGGAUCUGAGAGGAUGGCCCCCCACACUGGUACUGAGACACGGACCAGACUCCUACGGGAGGCAGCAGUAAGGAAUAUUGGUCAAUGGGCGGAAGCCUGAACCAGCCAUGCCGCGUGCAGGAAGACGGCCCUACGGGUUGUAAACUGCUUUUAUACGGGAAUAAACCCAGAUACGUGUAUCUGGCUGAAUGUACUGUAAGAAUAAGGAUCGGCUAACUCCGUG
rnacentral:rRNA from 1 species